rnacentral:sRNA from 2 species
UAAAAAAUAAUGCUGAAUUCUCUUAAGAAGCGGGGGAACCAAUUUCUGGGGUGAAUCCUAUUUAGGAGGGGCUACCCUUUAGUCCUAAUCCGGCAGCUAACCUCGUAAGCGUAGAAAGGGGCAGUA